ensembl:lincRNA
AUGAAGGACCUGACUUCGGGCACCUUCCACAUGUCCCGGAGCAGCGCAUUCCAGUGGUCCAUUGUGAAGAGGAUGAAGACGGUUAUUAGGGAAUUUGGCAGGCCCCUGCAGAGCAAGCCCUGCCUACAAGAAGGACUCCUGGUACACCAGGUCCUGGCGACCCGAACGGCUGAAAUCCUUGAAGAAGUAGACGCCAGCCACAGCAAAAAUGUAGAAGAGGAUGAGCAGCAGCAUGAAGUGAAAUCGGAUGCUCUAGGGGACAGGAUCUCACGUCAGAGGCGGGCAGACAAGGCUGAUCUCCAGCAACAGCCAGGCAAGCCCACCUGGCCUUCCCCACCCCGCCCUCCCUUCCACUGGGGCCCAACAUCCCUAAACCACAGCAGCUCCUCCCCAGCCCUUUCUCGUCCCAAACAUUUCACAGCCCCUUCCUUGGCUCCUCUGACCCACCCAGGCUUUGCUACAUGGUCAGUGUUAAAGCCCAUGUCUUCACACUGAAGCCACACGCAUCAAAUCACCUUGAAGGUCCUGACCAGGGCCAAAAUAAUAACUUGAACUUGAUGGAACUGCGCAUACAGCCUGAAACACCGCAUCACACUGCAGAUACUUAGCAGCUCGAGCCACACAGGAUGGCCUGUUACCCCUCCCAGCACCAAGAUUUCAUAAAGUAAAGGCUGUGGGAAACAAGAUCAUGAGUGCAACAUACCUGAAAGCUCCGAGGCACAGUAGCCUGUCUCCCCCCAACCUGACCCUCCCUCACCAUUCCUGGGCAUCAUCCCUUGACUAGGUCUUGGGGGACCGUUUCCUAUUCAGCCUUUCUACACUGUGCUGUUGAUGCCCUGCAUUUCAACUUGUUGAAGUUUAAGAGCGGCUAACAUGAGUGCUCAUCUCGUUGAUGUUUUGUGAAGCACAGAUGACACAACACAAGCUAAACACUUCCAACAGUGCCCGGAACUUACUGGGUGCUCAGGGACUGGCAGUUGUCAUCGUUGUGACUGACGCUAGCAUUAGAUUUGACCUUGCUUCUAAUACCAACAAUUCCUGCAAUGUCUGACCUUGACCCCCCAAGUCACAGGAAGUUGCCCACGUCUGUAUUCUUGUCUUUCUGUUUUCUUGUUUCCAUUCAACUAAGUACACCCUGCAGCCCACUAGCUGGUGCUCAGGCUAUCUCCCCUUACCAACAGGGUGACAACAAAGUCAAAGACAUUCCAGGGGUUCCUCCAGUACAAGGAGAAGCUGGCUACCCACUUCAGAAGGAUUUCCACAAUGAAAACAGGCAAGAUAAACCAAAUUGCCACCUCCAAAGACAGCUUCAGUGGCCACAGAUUGGCGUUUGUGGAAUCCAGCAAUUCUGUGAAAACAGAAGAAAGGACAAAUAAAAAUUAAGGAAGUGGGAAGUCGAACAAUGCAGACGGAUCACUUAUGAACCACAGUUGUGCCCGCUAUCACUCUGUCUUUCUUUGAUUUCUGUCUUUAAUGUUGUGGCUUCAGCCUUGUGGCCACCGUCGCCCCUCCAUCCUGGUGUGGCUCACAGCUGUACCCCACUCUGGGCCUACCCCACAAUCUAGGGAUUUCCCUUGUCCCCCACCCUGUGCUUAUUGUUAAAUUAGUUCCAAAAUCGACCCAAAGCCAUGGGCCUUGAGAGGAGAAUGAAAACAUGGGUUGUGGUAUGCAAAAUGCUUUACCAAAGACGUGAAACAAGAAGCAGGAUUUGAGGGGCACUGACAGAGACCACUACGAAGCAGCCCUGAGCAGGACUUAAGUUAACCCAUUGGCUUUUCAUGUUCACUUCUGAAUCUGUCCAAGGCCUAGGCCCCUUGCUUGGAAAUGGUGGCAGACUCAUAGUAAGUGAACCUCUGUGAGUCACUAAUCCCUACUAAGGCCUACAAUGGCAAGCCCCACAGCCUCAAAAGAUAUGACAAGGUCACAGACAAGGAUACCUGGGUCCAAUCUCAACUAGAUAAAGACUGUAGCCUCAGGUAUCUCACUCCUGGGUAGAUUAACUUAAUACCUUACUUGGAGAAGUCCUUGAGUGAUUCUGCUCUUCUUGAGUUCCCCCCUCCCUUCUUCUGAUAACUAAACAAAUAUGGGUCAUCCACAGAAGGUUUUGGUCUUAUCCCUGAGAGAAUCUCUAAUUCUGUGAGAGGGCUUUGAUCCUCCUGGAGCCCUAAAAUCAUUCCACUUACCUCUUUUUAUCCUUCAGGAGAUUGUGGACCUGACCAACCCGCACUAACUAAGGGAUAUUAUUAACCUCAUAGGGCAUAUGGAGUUAUCAUAGAAAAUCUCUUAGUCCUCCAGUACUUUUCUUUCCCCAUCUUCUCUGAUAAGAAUUGAUUGUGUUCCUCAAAGCCAGCUGAAUUCUCUAGAACCCUGCUGUUAUUUCCUAACUACUAUUCCUUCACUCAUUGCUUCUACCUUUUAACUCUCUUCUUCACUUUCUCUCCCUCUCUUUCUCUCUCUGUCUCUCUGUCUCUGUCUCUCAAACACACACACACACACGCACACACACACACACACACACACACACACAUCCUGGGAAUUGAAC